rnacentral:tRNA from 1 species
GCUUGGGUGGCUCAGUCGGUUAAGCAUCUGACUUUGGCUCAGGUCAAGAUCUCACAGCUCGUGGGUUCGAGCCCCGUGUCAGGCU